rfam:Glycine soja cultivar W05 scaffold1674_4, whole genome shotgun sequence.
UUCUGAUUGGACAAUGACAGUCACGUGUCAUAUUUUAAUCGACCAAUGACAAUAACAAUGCAUUUCAUCUGUGACAAUCAUCGUCCAAUUAAAAUGUAACACGUGACCGUCAAUAUUC